UACGUAGGGAGCAAGCGUUGUCCGGAAUCAUUGGGCGUAAAGCGCGCGUAGGUGGCCCCGUAAGUCCGCUGUGAAAGUCAAAGGCUCAACCUUUGAAAGCCGGUGGAUACUGUGGGACUAGAGUACGGAAGAGGCGAGUGGAAUUCCCAGUGUAGAGGUGAAAUUCGUAGAUAUUGGGAAGACCACCGGUGGCGAAGGCGGCGACCUGGUCCGUGACUGACGCUGAGGCGCGAAAGCGUGGGGAGCAAACAGG
rnacentral:rRNA from 1 species